AAAUUGAAGAGUUUGAUCAUGGCUCAGAUUGAACGCUGGCGGCAGGCCUAACACAUGCAAGUCGAACGGUAACAGGAAGCAGCUUGCUGCUUUGCUGACGAGUGGCGGACGGGUGAGUAAUGUCUGGGAAACUGCCUGAUGGAGGGGGAUAACUACUGGAAACGGUGGCUAAUACCGCAUAACGUCGCAAGACCAAAGAGGGGGACCUUCGGGCCUCUUGCCAUCAGAUGUGCCCAGAUGGGAUUAGCUAGUUGGUGAGGUAACGGCUCACCAAGGCGACGAUCCCUAGCUGGUCUGAGAGGAUGACCAGCCACACUGGAACUGAGACACGGUCCAGACUCCUACGGGAGGCAGCAGUGGGGAAUAUUGCACAAUGGGCGCAAGCCUGAUGCAGCCAUGCCGCGUGUAUGAAGAAGGCCUUCGGGUUGUAAAGUACUUUCAGCGGGGAGGAAGGUGUUGUGGUUAAUAACCGCAGCAAUUGACGUUACCCGCAGAAGAAGCACCGGCUAACUCCGUGCCAGCAGCCGCGGUAAUACGGAGGGUGCAAGCGUUAAUCGGAAUUACUGGGCGUAAAGCGCACGCAGGCGGUCUGUCAAGUCGGAUGUGAAAUCCCCGGGCUCAACCUGGGAACUGCAUUCGAAACUGGCAGGCUUGAGUCUUGUAGAGGGGGGUAGAAUUCCAGGUGUAGCGGUGAAAUGCGUAGAGAUCUGGAGGAAUACCGGUGGCGAAGGCGGCCCCCUGGACAAAGACUGACGCUCAGGUGCGAAAGCGUGGGGAGCAAACAGGAUUAGAUACCCUGGUAGUCCACGCCGUAAACGAUGUCUACUUGGAGGUUGUGCCCUUGAGGCGUGGCUUCCGGAGCUAACGCGUUAAGUAGACCGCCUGGGGAGUACGGCCGCAAGGUUAAAACUCAAAUGAAUUGACGGGGGCCCGCACAAGCGGUGGAGCAUGUGGUUUAAUUCGAUGCAACGCGAAGAACCUUACCUGGUCUUGACAUCCACAGAACUUUCCAGAGAUGGAUUGGUGCCUUCGGGAACUGUGAGACAGGUGCUGCAUGGCUGUCGUCAGCUCGUGUUGUGAAAUGUUGGGUUAAGUCCCGCAACGAGCGCAACCCUUAUCCUUUGUUGCCAGCGAUUAGGUCGGGAACUCAAAGGAGACUGCCAGUGAUAAACUGGAGGAAGGUGGGGAUGACGUCAAGUCAUCAUGGCCCUUACGACCAGGGCUACACACGUGCUACAAUGGCGCAUACAAAGAGAAGCGACCUCGCGAGAGCAAGCGGACCUCAUAAAGUGCGUCGUAGUCCGGAUUGGAGUCUGCAACUCGACUCCAUGAAGUCGGAAUCGCUAGUAAUCGUGGAUCAGAAUGCCACGGUGAAUACGUUCCCGGGCCUUGUACACACCGCCCGUCACACCAUGGGAGUGGGUUGCAAAAGAAGUAGGUAGCUUAACCUUCGGGAGGGCGCUUACCACUUUGUGAUUCAUGACUGGGGUGAAGUCGUAACAAGGUAACCGUAGGGGAACCUGCGGUUGGAUCACCUCCUUACCUUAAAGAAGC
rnacentral:rRNA from 8 species